ACUACGGGUGGCAGCAGUGAGGAAUAUUGGGCAAUGGGCGCAAGCCUGACCCAGCAACGCCGCGUGAAGGAAGAAGGCUUUCGGGUUGUAAACUUCUUUUCUCAGGGACGAAGAAAGUGACGGUACCUGAGGAAUAAGCCACGGCUAACUACGUGCCAGCAGCCGCGGUAAUACGUAGGUGGCAAGCGUUAUCCGGAUUUAUUGGGUGUAAAGGGCGUGUAGGCGGGAGCGCAAGUCAGAUGUGAAAACUCAGGGCUCAACCCUGAGCCUGCAUUUGAAACUGUGUUUCUUGAGUGCUGGAGAGGCAAUCGGAAUUCCGUGUGUAGCGGUGAAAUGCGUAGAUAUACGGAGGAACACCAGUGGCGAAGGCGGAUUGCUGGACAGUAACUGACGCUGAGGCGCGAAAGCGUGGGGAGCAAACAGGAUUAGAUACCCCAGUAGUC
rnacentral:rRNA from 1 species